CCGAUGGCGAAGGCAGNUCUCUGGGCAGUAACUGACGCUGAGGAGCGAANGCAUGGGGAGCGAACAGGAUUAGAUACCCUGGUAGUCCAUGCUGUAAACGGUGGGCGUUAGGUGUGGGGGCCGGUUUGGUUUCUGUGCCGUAGCUAACGCAUUAAGCGCCCCGCCUGGGGAGUACGGCCGCAAGGCUAAAACUCAAAGGAAUUGACGGGGGCCCGCACAAGCGGCGGAGCAUGUGGAUUAAUUCGAUGCAACGCGAAGAACCUUACCUGGGUUUGACAUGCACCAGACGGUUGUAGAGAUACGUACCUCCCUUUGUGGUUGGUGUGCAGGUGGUGCAUGGUUGUCGUCAGCUCGUGUCGUGAGAUGUUGGGUUAAGUCCCGCAACGAGCGCAACCCUUGUCUUAUGUUGCCAGCACGUUUAGGGUGGGGACUCAUGAGAGACUGCCGGGGUUAACUCGAGGAAGGUGGGGAUGACGUCAAAUCAUCAUGCCCUUUAUGCCCAGGGCUUCACACAUGCUACAAUGGUUAGUACAACGCGCUGCAAGCCUGUGAGGGUGAGCGAAUCGCUGAAAGCUAAUCUCAGUUCGGAUUGGGGUCUGCAACUCGACCCCAUGAAGUCGGAGUCGCUAGUAAUCGCAGAUCAGCAAUGCUGCGGUGAAUACGUUCCCGGGCCUUGUACAC
rnacentral:rRNA from 1 species